UUCUCAGGCGACACGCGACAGCACAGACGUUGUAUAGUGAGGCUGCCAUCAGGAUAAAUUGCAAAGUUUCAGUAUCGAGUUUUUGCGAGCAUUUUGGGGAAAAUGAGUCAGUUUACGCAGAAAUUUGCUUGUUUUUCUCUAUUGCCUAAAAUGUUCCCUGUUCCGUUAUAGCCGUUACCUCUUAACGUGAUUGAAACUUGAAACAAGUCAGUCACAUUAAAGAAAGGUUUGAAACAGCCCAUGUGCCCAGCAGAUCACAUUGGUGCAAUAAGACAAGUAUGUAACGAAGUAAACUCAAACAUUCAGUGACUGCAACUCCUAUCUAUGUGAAUCUGCCAGACAGAAUUUUCAGUUCACCUAAUAGCAUUUUUAAAGAAGUGAGGAGAACGCUUGUGUGGAAUCGUCGAAAAGCAACCCAGUUUUUGCUAACUUGUUCGUGAAGGUUCAAUGGAGAAAAACGUCGAAAUACCUUUUCAUCCUUUCAUUCAACAGCUUCCACAGUGUGAUCAACAAGAUUAUUGAACUCUGGAAUCUUUGGGUCACGAUCUACAUGGACGCCAAUGCUGGUUCAUUACAAAACUCAUCUUUGUUGCCUAAUAAAGUGAAAUUCUUGAAGAAAUUGGCUUUGGUGAUGGAGGAAAGUCAUACAUGACACUACUCGAGCCCCCAUUAGAUGAACUGUUGCUGCAGUUUUGGCCAAGACGGAAUUUGAAAAGCCCCUCUAUUAGAAGCUGCACUGUCUGAGGCAGGUGACUAACAAGCAUAGUGAUGCAUACCAUUUAAUUGCUUUUUUUUGUUAAUAAUUCGUUAUAUUUUGGCAGCAAAAAUUGCUAGAGAGGAAUUUCAAUCGAUAUCCAAGGUUGAGUAAACUUGUGCUAAUGACAGGAAACUACGCCAGCUUCUACGGUAGUUGCAGAUUACGUGAGCCCGUCGAUGUUCCCAAGUACUAUAAUAUCAUCAAGAAUCCUAUGUACUUGCGAAUGGUUGAAACCAAGACUAGAAAGAGAAGCCACCAAUGAUUUUACGAUUCUUUUCGUAGUAGUUGUCAGAUUUGGAAUUCCAUGAAAUGCUGCCGAGGUUGGAUCAUGGACCAUGUUGGCAUAUCAUUCAAUUGGCUGAAGAAGAUCUUGGUUCUCUGGUUCUCUCGAAUGACUCGAAACAACAACUCACACAUCUCGUCCAGGAGUAACUCGCUUAUUUUGGGGAUCCAGCAAAGAAAACCUUCACUCCUCGCUCGAAUUUUCCAGUGGCUAUCCAAAUUAGAUCCACUCACCAUUUGACAUCGAAAACCACUGCUUGUUUCAUUCAAACUGCUGGACAGCCUUCCGGCGAUCGCGAUGGAAAGAGCUGCCAUAUCUUAUCUCAUUAAUUUCAGGGAUUCGCCAUCUGUCAUGCCGGUCUAUUAGAGCAGUAGUGAACGUUUUAGUACAACGGCGAGCAGGAUUGUCCCGCGUCUUUCGGGUGACACACCUUUUUGAGGGGAUAAAAGGACCAAUCGCGAAGGAACCAAGAACCCGGGAACUUUAAAUGGCCGCAAAUCAUGUCCUCCAGACUCCACGGCAGGAAACGUUCCAUCUCCUUCUCGUCCCGG
rnacentral:lncRNA from 1 species